ACCAUGAUGUCAAAUAAAUUUGACCAUUAUGUCAGAUGGUCAAAUAUUUGACCAUUAGACAAAGAGUGUACUACAGACUUAAAAUGAUAUACAAUCGUUAAAAGCUAAAGUCAAGCAAUGAUAACACAUUCAUGUGCGAGCAAUUUGGUUCAGUGUAGUCUGCUUUUUCCUUUGGCAGUUUUUGCCCAUAACAAGGUUAAAAAUAGAGGUAGGUCUACUAGAUCAUGAUUCUCAAAGCAGUUUUCAAGUCGAAUCUCGACAAAUCGACUCUAGUGCUUGGGAUCUUUUGUGCAACAUGAUUUGCCUCGAAUACAAUGGGCACACUAGCGACAUUACUUAUCUAGGGACUAAAUAAUCUUAUAUUUGCAUGUUAUCUGUUUUGAGUGUAGUAUUCGUUUCUCCCUCUCCACGGUUAAAUGAAGCUACCUAAUUAUGAGUACGAAAACUACCAAUUUUUGAGUUCGCCUAAGCGAACUGCGAUUUUGAGUAACUUUGAUUAAGUGAAAUUUGUAGAAAAAACUCAUAUGAUGGAUCAAUGCACCAUAUCUAUGUUUGAAUGAAAUGUUUCGAAUUUUCGCUGCUCGAGAGGUUAUUGUUUACCUAAUUUUGGAUGAAAAUUUUUAACCUGCCAGUGCUGUCAAGAAAGAAACAGUUGUGAAAUCAACAGUGUUUUUUUUCUACGAGUGCUUAAAAUUCGGGUUUCUAGUGAAAGAAGGUUUGGAGUUGUAUUUUGUUUGCUUUGAAAUAUUCAAAAUGAAUAAAAUAUCCUCAUCGAUUAGCGAAAGACUUCCUUCCGAAAGCAAAACCACCCGCACAGAAAGUGGUAUCGCCUGCGGGGCCACUGAACCAGAGAAUGAACUACUGGUGUGCGCCAGAGUGGCACGGGCCAGAUUUUGGUUUUCCGGAAAUUUACAGCGUUGAAGGUCCCACCAAGAAAACGAACGGACACACCUCAAGAUCGAUUGUGUGAUAAGCAACUUUCGGUUGUUGGAGGGAAUAUAAACAAUGUUAUAAACAUUA